CCCAGUUUUCCUGUUUGGGAAUAUGACAGCUUCUUUGUCAUUCUAAUCAAACCAGGAUGAAUCGCGAUGUAAGAAGCUUGAUUUUGAUACAUAAAGUGAUCCCAGUUUUCCUGUUUGGGAAUAUGACAGCUUCUUUGUCAUUCUAAUCAAACCAGGAUGAAUCACGAUGUAAGAAGCUUGAUUUUGAUAUAUAAAGUAAUGCUCCCAUGAGCUGCUUCAAUCCCACAUCUUGUAUGGUUUUCUUGAACAACUCUAUCUUCAUACCUCAGACUCCACGCCUGACCUGCUUCUGUAGCCAUCCUUCUCAAAGGCUUCCCCUUUUUAUGACUACUCCACAACACACAGCUCCUCAACACUGCCUUCGCCCAUCUUGACCAACUUCCACCAGUUUCCUCUUCAAGCUUCAAUGGAGUACUAGAACUAUGCUUCAUCUCCAUGCCUAGGUUGUUUGUUUCCAUCAGAAAAAUCCAAACGAGCCUAGUGACUGAAGAACAUAACCCAGACUCACCAAGAACACUCAAGAACACCAAGAACACUAAGAACACUCAAGAAAGAACCCAGAUUUGCGAAAAAGAAAUCACACACUCACCCCCUUUUGAGCAACCUGGCUCUGAUACCAUAUACACUUUUGUGUUUUAGAGUGUGUUUAAUAAUAAUCAGAGAAGAUUAGAGUAAAGUUUAGAGAGAAUAGAGAGAUUCUAGAGAGAGAGAGA